CGCAGGGAUAGGCUGGCCAGCCGACAAGCCGGGGUGCACCUCCCGGUUUCCCUGCGGUCCUCAGGG
rnacentral:sRNA from 1 species